rnacentral:rRNA from 1 species
UACGUAGGGUGCUAGCGUUGUCCGGAAUCAUUGGGCGUAAAGAGCGUGUAGGCGGCCCGGUAAGUCCGCUGUGAAAGUCGGGGGCUCAACCCUCGAAUGCCGGUGGAUACUGUCGGGCUAGAGUGCGGAAGAGGCGAGUGGAAUUCCUGGUGUAGCGGUGAAAUGCGCAGAUAUCAGGAGGAACACCAAUUGCGAAGGCAGCUCGCUGGGACGUAACUGACGCUGAGACGCGAAAGCGUGGGGAGCAAACAGG